rnacentral:rRNA from 1 species
CCUACAGGGGGCAGCAGUGGGGAAUAUUGGACAAUGGGGGCAACCCUGAUCCAGCCAUGCCGCGUGUGUGAAGAAGGCCCUCGGGUUGUAAAGCACUUUCAGUGAGGAAGAACGCCUGGUGGUUAAUACCCAUCAGGAAAGACAUCACUCACAGAAGAAGCACCGGCUAACUCCGUGCCAGCAGCCGCGGUAAUACGGAGGGUGCGAGCGUUAAUCGGAAUUACUGGGCGUAAAGCGCGCGUAGGUGGCUUGAUAAGCCGGUUGUGAAAGCCCCGGGCUCAACCUGGGAACGGCAUCCGGAACUGUCAAGCUAGAGUGCAGGAGAGGAAGGUAGAAUUCCCGGUGUAGCGGUGAAAUGCGUAGAGAUCGGGAGGAAUACCAGUGGCGAAGGCGGCCUUCUGGACUGACACUGACACUGAGGUGCGAAAGCGUGGGUAGCAAACAGGAUUAGAUACCCGAGUAGUC